UACAGAGGGUGCGAGCGUUAAUCGGAAUUACUGGGCGUAAAGCGCGCGUAGGCGGUUUUGUAAGUCGGGUGUGAAAUCCCCAAGCUUAACUUGGGAACUGCAUUCGAGACUGCAUAGCUAGAGUAUGGGAGAGGGAAGUGGAAUUUCAGGUGUAGCGGUGAAAUGCGUAGAUAUCUGGAGGAACACCGGUGGCGAAGGCAGCAUCCUGGACCAACACUGACACUGAGGAGCGAAAGCCAGGGGAGCAAACGGG
rnacentral:rRNA from 1 species